rnacentral:rRNA from 1 species
CCUACGGGGUGCACCAGUAGGGAAUCUUCGGCAAUGGACGAAAGUCUGACCGAGCAACGCCGCGUGAGUGAAGAAGGUUUUCGGAUCGUAAAACUCUGUUGUUAGAGAAGAACAAGUAGGAGAGUAACUGCUCUUACCUUGACGGUAUCUAACCAGAAAGCCACGGCUAACUACGUGCCAGCAGCCGCGGUAAUACGUAGGUGGCAAGCGUUGUCCGGAUUUAUUGGGCGUAAAGCGAGCGCAGGCGGUCUUUUAAGUCUGAUGUGAAAGCCCUCGGCUCAACCGAGGAAGGUCAUUGGAAACUGGAGGACUUGAGUGCAGAAGAGGAGAGUGGAAUUCCAUGUGUAGCGGUGAAAUGCGUAGAUAUAUGGAGGAACACCAGUGGCGAAGGCGACUCUCUGGUCUCUAACUGACGCUGAGGCUCGAAAGCGUGGGGAGCAAACAGGAUUAGAUACCCUUGUAGUC